rnacentral:rRNA from 1 species
CCUACGGGUGGCUGCAGUGGGGAAUAUUGGACAAUGGGGGCAACCCUGAUCCAGCCAUGCCGCGUGUGUGAAGAAGGCCCUCGGGUUGUAAAGCACUUUCAGUGAGGAAGAACGCCUGGUGGUUAAUACCCAUCAGGAAAGACAUCACUCACAGAAGAAGCACCGGCUAACUCCGUGCCAGCAGCCGCGGUAAUACGGAGGGUGCGAGCGUUAAUCGGAAUUACUGGGCGUAAAGCGCGCGUAGGUGGCUUGAUAAGCCGGUUGUGAAAGCCCCGGGCUCAACCUGGGAACGGCAUCCGGAACUGUCAAGCUAGAGUGCAGGAGAGGAAGGUAGAAUUCCCGGUGUAGAGGUGAAAUGCGUAGAGAUCGGGAGGAAUACCAGUGGCGAAGGCGGCCUUCUGGACUGACACUGACACUGAGGUGCGAAAGCGUGGGUAGCAAACAGGAUUAGAUACCCUUGUAGUC